UAGGGAAUAUUGGGCAAUGGAAGCAAUUCUGACCCAGCCAUGCCGCGUGAAGGAAUACAGCCCUAUGGGUUUUAAACUUCUUUUAUUAUAGAGUAACCGGAGGUACGUGUACCUCCCUGCAAGUAAAUGAUGAAUAAGGAUCGGCUAACUCCGUGCCAGCAGCCGCGGUAAUAAGGAGGAUCCAAGCGUUAUCCGGAUUUAUUGGGUUUAAAGGGUGCGCAGGCGGAGCAAUAAGUCAGGGGUGAAAAAUGUCAGCUUAACUGGAAUCGUGCCUUUGAUACUGUUGGACUAGAUUAUAAUUGACGUGACUGGAAUGUGAUGUGUAGCGGUGAAAGGCUUAGAUAUGUCACAGAACGCCAAUCGUGAAGACAGGUCACGAAAUUAUUACUGACGCUCAUGCACGAAAGCGUGGGGAUCAAACA
rnacentral:rRNA from 1 species